UGUUUUCAUUAAUCAAGAACGAAAGUUAGAGGUUCGAAGGCGAUCAGAUACCGCCCUAGUUCUAACCAUAAACGAUGCCAACCAGCGAUCCGCCUGAGUUCCUCAAAUGACUCGGCGGGCAGCUUCCGGGAAACCAAAGUGUUUGGGUUCCGGGGGAAGUAUGGUUGCAAAGCUGAAACUUAAAGGAAUUGACGGAAGGGCACCACCAGGAGUGGAGCCUGCGGCUUAAUUUGACUCAACACGGGAAAACUUACCCGGCCCGGACACUGGAAGGAUUGACAGAUUAAGAGCUCUUUCUUGAUUCAGUGGGUGGUGGUGCAUGGCC
rnacentral:rRNA from 1 species